rnacentral:rRNA from 1 species
AUACGGAGGAUGCAAGCGUUAUCCGGAUUUAUUGGGUUUAAAGGGUGCGUAGGCGGUUUGCUAAGCGGGAGGUGAAAUGCCGGCGCUCAACGUCGGAAGUGCCUCCCGAACUGGUGGACUUGAAUGACUCUGCCGUGGGAGGAAUGUGUAGUGUAGCGGUGAAAUGCUUAGAGAUUACACAGAACACCGAUUGCGAAGGCAUCUCACGAAGGGUUGAUUGACGCUGAGGCACGAAAGCGUGGGGAUCAAACAGGAUUAGAUACCCUGGUAGUCCACGUAGUAAACGAUGAUGGCUAACCGCUGGGCUUAUCAGUUCAGUGGCCAAGCGAAAGCGAUAAGCCAUCCACCUGGGGAGUACGACCGCAAGGUUGAAACUCAAAGGAAUUGACGGGG